UACGUAGGGUGCGAGCGUUAAUCGGAAUUACUGGGCGUAAAGGGCGCGUAGGCGGCCUGUUAAGUCGAACGUGAAAUCCCCGGGCUCAACCCGGGAACUGCGUCCGAUACUGGCAGGCUUGAAUCCGGGAGAGGGAUGCGGAAUUCCAGGUGUAGCGGUGAAAUGCGUAGAUAUCUGGAGGAAUACCGGUGGCGAAGGCGGCAUCCUGGACCGACAUUGACGCUGAACGGCGAAAGCUAGGGGAGCAAACGGG
rnacentral:rRNA from 1 species